CGUGUUUCGGGAAGUCUCGCGCUGUCGUCUAUAGUUUAACAUUACUUGACGGUUUCAUGUUAUCGUCUAAUGUGAGCGUGGACUUCAAAUUGAGUCCUGUCACGACGGUUUCCUCAAACUCCGCCGUCAUCCAGCCAUUCCUCUCAUCCCUCUCUCUCUCUCUCUCUCUCUCUCUCUCUCUCAUGCGUACACGAACUCCACCGUCAGCUUUCCGCCAUCAUUACCCGUGAUGUUUUCUCUCUCUCUUGUGAACUCCCUCUUUACUCUCGCCUCUCUCUCUCUCUCUCUCACAAAAGCUGCCCGAAGACCUGCCGCCUUCGUGACCCGCUGUCACCUUCGACCUUCGUGACCCGCCAUCGCCUUCCGCCUCUGAGACCUGCUGCCAGCGCUGUCGCCUCCUUCCCUGGUUGUAGUUCCGAUGAGGAAGAAAGAUUUGAACUUAAGCAAAUGAAAAAACUUGAUCUGGAUGCGGAUAGAAAACGAAAGGCAACCAUAACGAAUUGAGUUGUGAAAAUGAGGGAUAAAGAAAAAGAAUUCAAGUCAGUUUUGAAUAGCGGGGGACAAGCAAUAAAGUUAUUUAUGUGUUCUAUCUCAUGAACACAUGCUAAUAAAAUAACAUAUUAGAGAUCAAAAGAAAAUAGAGUUAGCAUAGAGCGCAUUUGGUACAACUUCGCUGCAAGUUUCACGGUUCCGAUGUCUGUAAGAAGAAAGUCUCUAAUUACAAGUACUAGAAAGAUGGCUCGGGACUUUAGGUCCAAGCUAUUCAAAAAGUUUAUAGAGCCUUUGAAAGGUAGUUUUCAAACCUGUCGACUUCCGAAGUGGCAAGAAACUAAUUCUCAGUUACGGCGGAGCAAUGGAAGAAGUUUGUUGAGUACAGACUUACUCCGGAGCAGCAAGCCAUUUCCCAAGCAGCCUUUGAAAGAAGAAAACUAUGGGACUAUGUGCACUUAAAUUCCCGUGGGGGAUAUCAGAAAGCAGAGGCAGUAUAUAUGCGAGUCCACAAUACAAUGGUGCAUCCCGAUCGAGCUACUUUAUUGAGGAGCUCGUCAAGUGGAUUGUGAAUUAUAUGAACUUUUUAGAUAUCAUUGGGUGGAACAUUUUUUGUCAAGAGAGAAUCCUAAGGAACAUUUCAAUCUCAGGGGAUGAUGGAUGUGUUGACAAAAUCAUUGGAAAACUCUGAACAUUCAGGGUGUGUUCGUGGCCAAUCCCAAUUUGUUAAGUAAUCUACGUACUUUCAUUCCACUCGCGAGUCAAGCAGGGAUGAGGAGGUGGCUUGCCUACGGAAUCAGAUCAAUAUGAUGGAGGCAAAAAUUGAUGAAUUUAUGCGAUCCCAAGGCCACACUCCUACACCUUUAGGAGAGGAAGUGGGAGCUUUGACUGUGGAUCAAAGGCAUUGUGUAAAGAAGAGUUGUACCAUUCACACUUCAACACCAUGAGUUUAUAAACCGUCGUCUAAUGUCUUAUUUAACGACGGAUAAAAGCUGUUGUUAAAUCGUGCAACAAUUUAACGACUCUUGAUUAGACGGCGGUUCU